UACGUAGGGGGCAAGCGUUGUCCGGAUUUAUUGGGCGUAAAGAGCGUGUAGGCGGCCAAGCAGGUCCGCUGUGAAAACUCGAGGCUCAACCUCGAGACGUCGAUGGAAACCGUUUGGCUAGAGUCCGGAAGAGGAGAGUGGAAUUCCCGGUGUAGCGGUGAAAUGCGUAGAUAUCAGGAAGAACACCGGUGGCGAAAGCGCUCUGCUAGGCCGCAACUGACACUGAGGGACGAAAGCUAGGGGAGCGAAUGGG
rnacentral:rRNA from 1 species